UACGGAGGGUGCGAGCGUUGUCCGGAAUCACUGGGCGUAAAGGGCGCGUAGGCGGCGCGGGAAGUCCGUGGUGAAAGCCCGAGGCUCAACUUCGGGUCGGCCAUGGAUACUCCUGGGCUCGAGCACUGUAGAGGCAGGUGGAAUUCCUGGUGUAGCGGUGAAAUGCGCAGAUAUCAGGAGGAACACCGAUGGCGAAGGCAGGGUCUCUGGGCAUUAACUGACGCUGAGGAGCGAAAAGCAUGGGGGAGCGAACAGG
rnacentral:rRNA from 1 species